rnacentral:lncRNA from 10 species
UUCUGGAUGCCCAGACCUUGGGGCUCCCUGAGCAAGGGCUGUGACACACUGUAACACCUUCUUUGGCACUCUGUAGUUCCUGGCAUCUCUGAGCUUUUAGGUGCCACUGGACUCCCCUUGUCUAGAUGCUGGUGCCCACAGUGGAAGCCGCUUGUGGUAUAUCGGGUCCAGCUGCAGCGUCACAUGGAGCCAGCGCCUGUGCCAGUGCCUGGAGCUGCCCACCCUGCCACAGCAGCCAGUGUGCCUGGCUGUGCAAAGAGGC